AGUGUUCCCUUGGCGGUAGUGCAGGGAGGGCGUUGCCGCGUCGGUCACCCACUAGAUCAACUCUGCUCCUGCUCUCGAUCUGCGCAGCUGCAAUGUAACAUGUUGAGACCGCACGUCAAGGAUAAACCCCGGUUUACAUCAAUAGGAUUCUCAAGGGCCUUCUAGUACACAUGCAGCGAACCAAAGGAGGAGAGUAAAGAACAUGAGAACUGUACUGUAGUACGAGUAUCACCAUCUUUACAUGCUAUGGAGAAGUAACAAGUACGCCGCUGUUGCCGCAACCUUCGGGGUUCCUUCCUUUUACCACGAAGUAACUGAAGACCGUGUCUCGUCAGAAAGAAAAAAAAAUUGAAUAUAUUAGGUCAGCAGUCUGUUGCUCAAUAAAUACUCCAUCAUGGCUUAACCUAGAUAAAAGGACCCAGGAAAAAUACCAAUUUAUGAGCAGCAGUAGAUGUUUAGAUGCCUGCUUAUAUAUUGAUCCCCUUU